GAUGUGGUGGGACAGCUUGCAUGACUGGAAUGCUGUUGUGGAUGGCUGCGUUCCUUGUAGGAGAGGCAGACAGCUGAGGUGGUGAAGUUUCUCUUCUGGUGGGAGAACUGGAAUGUGCCGAGCCUCACCUCCCUCCACAGCAAGGUGAUGGGACAGCUGUAAGUGACCUGGUGAGCAAAAAUUUCUAAGUAGUCACGGUGGGUUUGGUGAGGGGAAAUGAUGCUGGACCAAGGCUGUAGCCUUCUGUGUUGUGACUAGUUAGAUGAGAGAAGGGCAGUGGAUGGUAUGGGGGGAAUAUCUUACUGUCAGUAAUUAUCUGAAGUGCAGGAGUUUUGUUGAUGAUGUGCUUGUUCAGGCAUUGAUGGGGGGUGUGAGGUGGAAACAUUCACAGACUGGAAUGUUAGUGCUUGUUGUGAGUGAUGGAAUAGGCUGUGGAGUUGCUUUCUCUGGGGGUCUGUGGGUUGUGUCUGGAUAUGUUGUUGCAGGGUGAGUGCUGCAAUGGAGCAUUUAGCAGUGAGGAUCUGCCUGAGCGUGGGAGUGGUUUCAUUGAAGGUGAGAUGAAGGAGGUCUGCUCCUGGAAGAAUGGAAUUGACAGUGUGAGGGGAGAAGUGCAGCCUGCAGGACUCUGGCAACCAGACAGCCUGUGAGCCUGGGACUUGGGUUCCUCCAUCUCAAGGUGAAGCUUUACUGCAGUAUGUGGAUGCCAUGGAAACAAAAGAGGACUGUUUGGACUGUUGUGGUGUGGCUGGCAUCCUGAGGGGAAAGUCCUCAUCCUAGGCUUGUGGGUGUGCUGAAUCCAUGGAAGAAGCAGAAGAGAGCUCCAGGUAGGCAUGUGUCUGGUGUAGUCCUUUGACCUGGGAUCCUCUUAGUGGGU